UGGGGAAUAUUGGGCAAUGGAGGAAACUCUUACCCAGCAAUGCCGCGUGAGUGAAGAAGGUCUUCGGAUUGUAAAGCUCUUUGAUUGGGGAUGAAAAAAUGACGGUACCCAAAGAACAAGCCCCGGCUAACUACGUGCCAGCAGCCGCGGUAAUACGUAGGGGGCGAGCGUUGUCCGGAAUGACUGGGCGUAAAGGGUGUGUAGGCGGUUUAUUAAGUUAGAAGUGAAAUACCUAGGGCUUAACCCAGGUGCUGCUUCUAAAACUGAUAGACUUGAGUGCAGUAGAGGAAAGUGGAAUUCCUAGUGUAGCGGUGGAAUGCGUAGAUAUUAGGAGGAACAUCAGUGGCGAAGGCGACUUUCUGGACUGUAACUGACGCUGAGGCACGAAAGUGUGGGGAGCAAACAGG
rnacentral:rRNA from 1 species